UCUCUUCAACGGUGAUAGCGAAGACGAAGGGAAAGAAAUCCCAAAUCUCUUCUUCCAUCCACUUCUCCUUCUCCAGCAAUGGCAGCGGCGGCGACGACUUGCAAUCCCAGCUUCAAUCCACUCGUGGGUUUCAACCUUAGGUGGUGUAGCUCUUCCUUUUUUCUCAAUCUAUCAAUCUAUGACGGUGCCACGGGUUCUCUUCAAUGGUGACAGCGGUGGCGAUAAGCCACAAUGAUGGUUCUGCUGUGAGGAGGUGCUUCGAGUCCGGUGCUUCCGGCGAUGAUAAGGAUUGAAGUUAGUCUUUUGGUGAAGGGUGACUAAUCUUGCUGUUGAAACCUAUCCGAGACUCAAUAUCAGACUUGUUCUUGCGACUGGAAGAUGGCAACGCGAGCUGUGAAGAGCUUCUGAAUAGUCUCUCAAAUAUAGCCAUGAAUGAGAACAUGAAAAUAAGAAUAGCAGUGGCUCUCUACCGGAGGUAGCUAAGCAACGUGAAGUGAGUGGGACGUUGCACCAACCAGACACAAAGAAUAAGAAGCAAAUAUCAAGUGCUAAGACUAAGGAGCUCCUGAAAUGAUAUAUUUGGCCCUGCUCCUGAAAUUUUGCUUCAUCCAACAGCUGCUGCACUUACUUCAGAAUCAAAAGAAAGUAAGGACAUGAGAGGUCAGGCAAUAAUAUUUUCAAGGGAGAUGUUCCUCUAGCAUCUGCAGAAAAGUCUCUGAGCAGAGCUAAACUUUAGAGACAUUACUGGGAGUAACAUAUUCGCAGAUGGAAAUGUAGAAACCAGAGAGAUUAUAUGUGGUGUAUGCAGACCCCCUGGUGGGGGAAGCAGCAUUGCCUUAGUUUAAACUUGAAAUCUGUCCCAUUUAACAUGUGUGCCUUAUUUGUCUGGAAAGAUUAUGUGUUGGAUUGUACUCCAGUGCAGUAUAAAUAAUUAUGUUACAUUAAUGUAUGACAGUGGUUAUUAUUUAUUUUGAUGUAAAUAGUCGUAUACUGGAUUAAUAAGAAAUUAUGA